rnacentral:rRNA from 1 species
UCAGGCAGUCCAAGAAUAUUAGUCAAUGCUCGAAAGAGUGAACUAGCUAACUGAAAUCAAUUAUAAUAAUUGAUAACAUAAGGGAAAAAGAAUGAUAUUACCUUAUUAUUAGUGUCGUCCAAAUCUGGUGCCAGAAGACUCGGUAAGGCCAGAGACACGAACGUUAAUCGUCUUAAUCAGGCGUAAAGGGUUUGUAGGCGGCUUUAAAAUUUAUUUAUAUUAAUAUUAUAAAAUAAAAAAUAAAAGCUAGAAUCAAAAAGAGGAUAUAUUAAAGAAUGCUUAGAGUAGGUCUGAUAUCCUUAGAUACUAAGUAGAAUAUUAAAGGCGAAAGCUUUUUUCCAUUAAUGAUUGACGCUCAGAAACGAAGGUGAGGAUAGGAAAUAGGAUUAGAUACCCAAAAUACCCCUCUCUGUCAACGAUGAAUGGUAAUUAUUAGUAAAAAUUUUAUUAAUGAUAAUGUUAACACGAUAACCAUUCCGCCUUGUGAGUACAACUGCAAAGUUGAAAACAAAAAAAUUAGUCGGUUUCGGAGCAAACGAAGUGAAGCAUGUUAUUUAAUUCGAUU